CUAUAAUAAUAAAAGCAUAAUAUGCUAAUUAGACCAACGUCCUUCCAGACGACCUUACGGAUGAAGCCAGGGAUUCGAGGGAAGCCCGGUUCCCGGAUGCCAGGGGGAAGCCAGUGCCAGCAGCCGAAGGAAGGAAGGCCUACCCUUGCACGAAUUUCGUGCAUCAGGCCUCUAGUAUUUGAUAAAAUGAAAAGUUGCUUCUUCCUUGAGAUGGGGUCUUCUUCAUUCAGGUGGUGGGACAGCAAGCAGUCUCUUUUCCUUUUUGAUCCUGUUCAUCUUCCCGUUUGGUGGUUUAUUUUACACCACGGAUUGUUAAUUCUGCUAUGGUGUAUAAUGUAAAGAAAGGUUGUAGAAUGGCAUGGUGGGAGAAGGAAAGUAUUUCUUCUUAGUGCUGUUAGCCAUUUGGUCCUUGACAGCUAAUUUUUCUUCUAUGCUUCUCAAAAUAUCAGGUGAAUGUCUCCACAAAUUUAGAAGAAUGUGGUCUGGGUUAUUUACACCAAAAAAAAAAAAGCCCAGACUGCUGGGGGAUUUGCAGUGGUAACCAACAGUGUUAAAAAAAGUCAUCUUCUAAAAUAAUAGCACAGCUAAUUCAAGAAGAUAAUGGAUACCUAAAGAUUAAGAAACUGGGUCUCCCAUGGUACAUGAAAAGGACUUUCAGAUACAAGGUUCUCUAAGACAUGUGCUCUUGUUUUUUAAUUUUUUCCCACACAACUUCCCCUCCCCCCCCCCCUUCAAUAAAUAACAUGCUGCAUUCAAAUAAUGCACAUUUAGGAAAAAUACAGCUUCCUGGGACCAUUGAGCUGAUGUGAUGAAAGACAAAGACACGCUGUCAUUACUUUGGCUAAGGUGUUCUGCUCCUUUCAGCCUCAUUCAAGUGCAGAGAUCCUCUGUUCCUUGGUUCCCAUUCACCAGGACAGGUACCCUUGUGUCCUAAACAGCAAGAGAAUUCCAGCGGAUUCUGAAGAGUAAUGAAGAAUUUGACUGGGAAGCCAUCUAAGAUGAACAGUGCAUUCUAUGAUAUUUCCCAUGGUAAAGCGGAGGUGGUUUUGGGCUCUGUAAUUAUAUUAAGAGUCCCCACCCUUUAAAUAAGCAGUUCUAGGUUCCCAAGCAAUUAUCUCAUGCUCAUACUACAAGUAGUCAGAUAUGCUAAGUGCCAUUUACUGUUGAAUAUAACAAAGAAGUAGUAUGUCAAGGUCUUUCAGUUGUCACACAUGGUAUCCAUGGAGUGUAAUUAUUUUUAGCUUCAAAACCAUAUACUUCUGGACUAACAAUGAAGUUUGAUAGGCUUUCCUUUUGUAAGGAAAUGAAAACAAUGGAAGAGUAUAGUCAUAAUAACUUAAUUAGGUUGAUGUUUGCUACAAGCUCCUGCUGAAAGUCAGUUCUAUUAAUAUAACAUACACGAAUGCUGAAUUGACUUACUUUGACUUAUUUCUAGGCAGACCUGAAAAGAGCAUAUUUGGGUCUCAACCAACGUUGUUUAAUGGAGUAAAGGUGAAGGUGGAGGGCCUGUAGUGUGAAGGAAUAGGCCUGGGUAGGGACUGGUUCUACAGAGAGAAUGGGAAUAAGAAAAGCAGCUGAAGAAAAUGGAAAAGAAAAAAGGGGGCAGGGGUAAGGUUAAAAACCAUAGGAUCUAUGUAUCUCAUUGCACAGCAUUUGAAAACAGUUCCCAUCGUUUUGAGAUUUUACAAUUAGACUAUCUUCUUUUGGAACACUUUUCUGUGAUUGGACCCUAUGAGUAAUUACAUCAUAAGCAUUAGAGGUAUAAGUCACUUUUUGAAUACUCCCAGGUGUGUGAUUAAAAUUGGAGUGUCUGGCCUUGGUUUGAUGACCUGCUGGAGAGUGAACACCCAGCAGCAUUCAUCCCGAAGCACUCACUGUUAGUCUUCUAUGUGCUGCUUUUCUGAUUAUAGGUUACUGGUCCUUACCGAAGUACAACUUUUUCAGACAUUAGAAUCAUCCAUAUACUAUACAGAAUGUUGUGUUUAUUGUUGUUUAUAGGAUAUUUUGAAAUAUGUAUUAUAGUAAACAACGUGGCAAACAUGAUAUUCACAUAGAUGAAGCAGAGUAUGUAGAUAUACAUACAUCAUAUUUUAUCCUUUUGGUUCUUGUUAUACUAUAGAAUAUUCCUGAUCAGAAAUACAACUUCAUGGAAGAAGGGUUCCUUUUCACUUCUAUGCAUCAUGUGUCAUGUUCACCCAGCUACUCUAAGCAGAGAAAUGGGAAUGCACAGCCCCCACAUUUUAUUGUAAAUCAGAUAUAUAAAUGUUUAAUUUGAAAUAUGGCCAUGCUUGUUUUAACAUAAAAGUGUUUAAAAUCACAGGUUAAUUAUUUAACCCUCCACCUCUACCUACCCCCAUAAAUCUUCAAAUAAAAUAGAGCAGACAAGCUGCCUUCUUAGCACAUCAGUCUCAUGAAACAGAGCAGAUAUGAGGGAAGAUUACCCAAACCUGCAACCGAGGUACGUGCCCUGACUGGGAAUCAAACCCCCUGCCUUUACUGUACAGGAUGACACUCCAACCAACUGGGCCACCCAGCCAGGGCCAGGACAUUUCAUAAAAUUAUGCAACAAGAAUGUAGUGGGAAGUCCUGCCAAUGCCUCCGCUGGCCAAGAGCAGAGCUUAGGGAAGUUGGGAUGAAGAGGUUCAAUGCCAGCUACUUCUUUUGAACUCUUUUCUUUGUUCUUUCUGCAAUAGGUAUUUCUGCAAUGGACUGUUAAACAUGGGUCUUUGGGGUCAAUAGAUUGCUUUGUCUUAUCUCUGUAGAGUGUUUUCAGGUUUUAAAAUUCCUGAAGACAGACUGGGCUUGGGACCCACCAGUGGGUGGUCAGAGCCCUUUGAUUUUUGAGAUAAUUCUUCCCUGAGAUGGGCUUGCCUUCUCAUGCACACCAUCCUUUGUUCCUGGGUUUUGCAAUUCUGGUAAGUAUCUGGGUGUGGCAGAGGGAGACUAACACACCUCAGGUGUGGGAAAUAAAAAAAGGUGCCAAGCCUGUCACAUUCAUGGUGUUCCACUCGUACUAGUCUGUGCUUUAUGGUUAAUCUCAACAACUUACUCUCCUCAGCUGCAGAAAUAAAGGAAGACUAAGAAGAGUGUGUGUGUUUAAAGACAGUUCUCUGGUGAAGAAUUGGAACCUGUUGAUUUAAAUGGCAUAAGAUUGUCUUCAUGAUAAUGAAUCAUAAAAUAAUUAUAAUAGAUGGUUGUGUAAUGGUUUGCCCAGCCAGUUCUCCCAGCAUGAAGAUUCACAGUAAUUAACCUGUUACUAUCACCGGUUUUUGAAUAAGUUGCUUUUAAGAGGAAACACUAGAUUUGAAAUAGAAACUGAAUUUUAUUAUUAAAAGUGAAUUGCUGCAUGGGACUUUGAAUUCCUAGGAAUUUCCA